CCUACGGGGGGCUGCAGUGGGGAAUAUUGGACAAUGGGCGAAAGCCUGAUCCAGCCAUGCCGCGUGUGUGAAGAAGGCCUUCGGGUUGUAAAGCACUUUCAGUGGGGAAGAAAGCCUUGGGGCUAAUACCCUCGAGGAAGGACAUCACCCACAGAAGAAGCACCGGCUAACACCGUGCCAGCAGCCGCGGUAAUACGGAGGGUGCGAGCGUUAAUCGGAAUUACUGGGCGUAAAGCGCGCGUAGGCGGUCUGAUAAGCCGGUUGUGAAAGCCCCGGGCUCAACCUGGGAACGGCAUCCGGAACUGUCAGGCUAGAGUGCAGGAGAGGAAGGUAGAAUUCCCGGUGUAGCGGUGAAAUGCGUAGAGAUCGGGAGGAAUACCAGUGGCGAAGGCGGCCUUCUGGACUGACACUGACGCUGAGGUGCGAAAGCGUGGGUAGCAAACAGGAUUAGAUACCCCAUAGUC
rnacentral:rRNA from 1 species